AUGAACGCUGGCGGCGUGCCUAAUACAUGCAAGUCGAGCGAACAGACGAGGAUCUUGCUCCUCUGACGUUAGCGGCGGACGGGUGAGUAACACGUGGAUAACCUACCUACAAGACUGGGAUAACUUCGGGAAACCGGAGCUAAUACCGGGUAAUAUAUUGAACCGCAUGGUUCAAUAGUGAAAGACGGUUUUGCUGUCACUUAUAGAUGGAUCCGCGCCGCAUUAGCUAGUUGGUAAGGUAACGGCUUACCAAGGCAACGAUGCGUAGCCGACCUGAGAGGGUGAUCGGCCACACUGGAACUGAGACACGGUCCAGACUCCUACGGGAGGCAGCAGUAGGGAAUCUUCCGCAAUGGGCGAAAGCUUGACGGAGCAACGCCGCGUGAGUGAUGAAGGUCUUCGGAUCGUAAAACUCUUUUAUUAGGGAAGAACAAAUGUGUAAGUAACUAUGCACGUCUUGACGGUACCUAAUCAGAAAGCCACGGCUAACUACGUG
rnacentral:rRNA from 1 species